CGGUGGCGAUAGCACAGAGGUCACACCCGUACCCAUUCCGAACACGGUAGUUAAGCUCUGUCACGCUGAUGAUACUUGGCUGGUGACGGCCCGGGAAAGUAAGUAGCUGCCG
rnacentral:rRNA from 1 species